ACUGGGGAACUUGAGUGCAGAAGAGGAGAGUGGAAUUCCACGUGUAGCGGUGAAAUGCGUAGAGAUGUGGAGGAACACCAGUGGCGAAGGCGACUCUCUGGUCUGUAACUGACGCUGAGGAGCGAAAGCGUGGGGAGCGAACAGGAUUAGAUACCCUGGUAGUCCACGCCGUAAACGAUGAGUGCUAAGUGUUAGGGGGUUUCCGCCCCUUAGUGCUGCAGCUAACGCAUUAAGCACUCCGCCUGGGGAGUACGGUCGCAAGACUGAAACUCAAAGGAAUUGACGGGGGCCCGCACAAGCGGUGGAGCAUGUGGUUUAAUUCGAAGCAACGCGAAGAACCUUACCAGGUCUUGACAUCCUCUGACAAUCCUAGAGAUAGGACGUCCCCUUCGGGGGCAGAGUGACAGGUGGUGCAUGGUUGUCGUCAGCUCGUGUCGUGAGAUGUUGGGUUAAGUCCCGCAACGAGCGCAACCCUUGAUCUUAGUUGCCAGCAUUCAGUUGGGCACUCUAAGGUGACUGCCGGUGACAAACCGGAGGAAGGUGGGGAUGACGUCAAAUCAUCAUGCCCCUUAUGACCUGGGCUACACACGUGCUACAAUGG
rnacentral:rRNA from 1 species